CCUACGGGUGGCAGCAGUGGGGAAUAUUGCUCAAUGGGGGAAACCCUGAAGCAGCCACGCCGCGUGGAGGAUGAAGGUCUUCGGGUUUUAAACUCCUUUUGUUAGAGAAGAUAAUGACGGUAUCUAACGCAUAAGCACGUGCUAACUCCGUACCAGCAGCCGCGGUCCUUCGGAGGGUGCCAGCGUUACUCGGGAUCCCUGGCCGUAAAGGGCGAGUUGGCGGGUUAGCAAGUCAGAUGGGAAAUCCUAUGGCUUAACCAGAGAACUGCCUUUGAAACUGUUUGUCUAGAGUGUGGGUGCGGUAGGAGGAAUGCGUGGUGUAGCGGUGAAAUGCAUAGAGAUCAAAAAGAAUACUGAUUGCGAAGGCAACCUGCUAGAACAUGACUGACGCUGAUGCACGAAAGCGUGGGGAGCAAACAGGAUUAGAUACCCCUGUAGUC
rnacentral:rRNA from 1 species